AUGAGCCACCCAGCCUGGACCCCAUGCAGAGCUUCUCUCAAGAGGCAGUGGACGCAGACAGGAUCCUGUACCUGCACUCCUGCCCUGAGGCCUGGAGCGAUGCCUUCUUGCUGGUUGUGGCCUCAGCCUGGGUGCUCCCCUUGAGGACGUAUCAUAGAGCUGGAGGUGCUGCCCACUGUCAUCCCCACCGGGAGUGCAAAACUUCAGCGUCCCCGAGGGUGGCAGCCACACCUUGGUCCCUCCACUGCUCUGCGUCACCGGGCCCUACUUCUCCACCCUCCCGGGCCUUGGCCUGCAGGUUCUGGAGCCAUCCUGGCAUGGGGCCCUGCAGAAGGAAGAUGGGCCUCAUGCCAAGACCCUCAGCGCCUUCUGCUGGAGAGAGAACUUAUGAUCCCCGUUUUCCACCAAUGGAAGCUGAAGCCCUGAAAGUCAGUCUCCUCCUGCACCCAAAGGCAGGGCAUGAAGGGUGCUGCUGGGUCCUGACUGCCAGCCCUGGGCCUGCCCCUCCGUGGAAGAGCAGCUGAUCUGCUAUGUGCACGAGGGGAGCGAGACACUGACAGACAGUUUUGUCCUGAUGGCUAAUGUCUCGGAGAUGGACCGCCAGAGCCAUCCUGUGGCCUUCACUGUCACCAUCCUGCCUGUCAAUGGCCAACCCCCCGACCUCACCACAAACUCAGGCCUGCAGGGUCCGUCCAGCCACUCAGCAGCCAGAGCCUCAGAGCCAGCUCCAGUGCAGGCACCAACCUCCAGCUUCUGCUCUUACUGUGUGGUGCGGGGCCCCCAGCUAGGUCGGCUCUUCCAUGCCCAGCAUGACAGCACAGGGGAGGACCUGGUGAACUUCACUCAGCCAGAGACCACGGAGUUCAUAUUGGAGCUGCUGGCCAGUCUGUACUCAUGUGGGGACCAGAACACCCUGGUGGAGCAGUUGGCAGAAGAGGCACAGCGGCGCGACGAGAUGCUGCGCAUGCACCACAUGCUGAAGGAGGUACUCACCAUCAUCAGGGACAUCAACACGACCACCGUCAGCCUGCCCCUAAGCCUGCAUGUGGACGACUCCUGGCUGCAGGUCGCCCAAGUCCAGCCCCGGGAUGCCCAGCCCCCGCCACGUCCCCAGCCCAGCCUGGGUUGCGGGCCCGGCUUCUGGGCUUCCUGCUGCUGGGUGCGCCCUUGGGGAAGUGCCACCCCGUAUCCUCCAGACCAGAGGCUUCCCCUGAUCCCUUCGGUCCUACUCGCCAGGUGCUCUCAUGCCCCACUCGGGAUCACCAACGGCCGCCCACACGUUGCAUCCCUCAUCCUUUCUUCUCGCCGUCCUCCAUUCUCCAUUCUGUGCAACUCCUCCCUGGGAAACCUAGCUCAGGUCUGAGAGUCUGAACCCCGAGAUGCUCUGGGUGUGUAGAUUUCCUUCUGCUACCCUGAUGUCCCCACAUCCAAGUCCUGACUCCUUUGAGCCAUCCCUGGGGGUAUCGGGCCACUUGACCACGGGAGCAGAGGCCAGGCUGUGACUGUGUGACCAACAAGAUGUGUGAUGUGAUGUGUGUACGGGUGAGCACACGAGUGUGAGAGUGUAAGAGUGGCACUCAGGCCUGAGCUAGGACAGAAGCAACUGGGGAAGGAGUCCAGGGGCCACAGGCAGUCUGAUUUUUUCUCCGCAUCUCCCCCCACCCCCUGACCCUGUCUAAACUAAUGGGGUAGUGGCAGCUGCAGGGGCAGGGAUGGGAGUGACUGAGUCCUACUUCACUCCCAAAGAUUUCUAAGG
rnacentral:lncRNA from 10 species